UUCUCGAAUUCGGUUGUUUUUACCCACUGACAAAAGUUGUGAGAUAAAAAACAAGCCUGAUCUGCAGUCGUUCUGUACAAAUGAGAUUUUUAAUGAACCCUGACUGAGUCAACAAAUAGGGCAAGACAAUACAUUUCCAGUCAACCGCCUAGCUCAAGAAUAAACGUAAUCCGUAAACUAUGUCACGAUUUAUAACCUAACGCCACCAGAUAGACAAAAAGGAAGAGUAGAGAUGUAUUUGUCCUACCUUUGUGCCUGGGAAAUACAGCCAGGCAUCUACUCAGCAGUUGCUCCAUCCGCUGAAGAGUUGAAUGACACCAGAUGGGAUCUAGGGAAAAGCAGCGUCCUCGCGAAUAACUCCCACACUCACACCUCACCUAUGGGUGUGUAAGGGCAUUUCAAGAAAGAGGGAGACGAGAUCCGAAUCUCGACCGACAUCAGUAGUUAUCCCCAAUCAAGAGGUCAUAGGUUAAUAAAAGUAACGAAAAUGAUUACCCAAGUGAUUUGAUGCAGAUGACUGUUGCUGAUGACAGGGUAAUACCAGCACAGGCAAUACUUGAAUGUCUUGUGGACACGAUGGCUGGCUCAGGCCUAAAAUCUGCACAAAGGAAAAAAGUUACAGAGUGCAAACAAACUGCCAUGCAUCGACAAGGGGCUUACAUGAUAAAUGCUGGUCAAGAACUAUAUAAAAAUUUCACUAAUGUGAAACAGGUUCAACACUUACAUUUAAGCUCUCAUAAUCAUUGCAUUUGUAUUCUUUAGUUUGAUUUACCUGCCAAACAGCAUGGAGUUGAUCGAGAUCUAGCAUGGAGAGCCCGAGCAGCGACCCCAGAGUUCACACGACACGACCGCAUUUUUGUCAUUUUAUUAGUUGCUGUGCUCUUUUUUCGUGCAGCAACGUGUACGUUUCCAAAAAUUGAUUGUUCUGUUAUCUGUUUCCUUUCUAACCUUAUUUAAUCUUUGUCUCCUUUAAUACGAAAUUGUUAAACGACGAAAGCAGACGACACUAAUCUUCUAAUUAGUCAUCCUUAAGGUAUCGAUUGAAAUUAUAAAAAAUCGCCCCCUCCCUCCAAAUUCAUACCGUUCAAAAACGAUAAUUAACCGUUUUCUUAGUUCGUCUAAAGUAAAAUUUGCACUUGAUAUAAUUAUUUAAAAAAAAGACCGAAAUCACCACAAUAAGUUCCUCCAGUGUUCUCUUGGAAACCAAGAGGGAAUUAAAUUAUUAUUUUGACUUUC